rnacentral:lncRNA from 1 species
UCUUAACUCCGAUCCUUCAAGAAUCAAAAAUAAAUUCUUAAUCCUUCUCAAGUAGUUAAGAAUAUUUUCACUGUAAUUCAGCACUCCUAGCCUAGAUUCGACUGAUAUCUGCUCGUGACACUAACAGCAAAGACUAUAUCAAAUUAAGUACAUAGCAUGGCAUACUCUUAUGCCUAAGAGGGCAGCAGAUCUCUCUUAUAAUUUUUUAUGC